AUCGCUUCUCGGCCUUUUGGCUAAGAUCAAGUGUAAAAAAUUGAUUGCAAUAAGAGCUUACCACACUCUGCUGUUUUGAUUCUGAUAAAAGCAUAGCAUCAUUAUUUGGAAUUUACUUUUUUUUUCAAAGUACUGAUCCAUUU
rnacentral:snRNA from 1 species